rnacentral:lncRNA from 1 species
CACGUGCUCCAUGCCCGGCCUGUGCUAGGCAGAGGGGUAAAGAAGAUCCACACCAAGCUCCAUCCUCUCAGAGUUGUGGCAUCUCAAGGGGGACUGUCAUGAGGAACUGGCAUGAGGCCCUAAUACAAGAGUGAGAGAUACAGCAGAGCCGGGGAGCACACAGCAGGGGCUGGGGCCAGGGAAGCCUCAGACAGACGAGGUCCAUGAGGGCCCUGGGCUACAGACAGGAGACUUUUAGGGUAAUGAGGAAAAUGAGGCAGCCAGAUGGAGUCCCAGCAAAAGCAGACUUCAGGCAGAAGGAACGGCAAGUCCAGGGCUCUGGAUGAGAGAAGAUCAACAACAGGAGACAGAGGGACCCCUCUAGAGGCAGGAGGAAAGAUAAAUGGCCACAGGCUGCUGUCAUCUAGGCCAGGGUUCUGGCAGCAAUGAAAACACGUCUGCAGGAGGAGAAAGAAGUGCUUUUGAAUCCAUCUUACUCAUCGUCUGUCUCUUGUCUCUUCAAAGUGAAUGCAGUUGGAAGGAAAGGGACAGGUUGGUUCUGUGCUUUGCCCAAGUAGGUCCAAAUUCUGUUUUUUUUCAGGAUGUAGCAGGGUGAGCUGUUCUGACAAACUUGAUCUUAGCACAACAGGGGCAGUAAGGUCAUCAUCCCCACCAGUCCUUUGCCCUAGGAUUACAGGACCUGCCCCCAGAGGGACAGGAGCUCAUCCUACACUGUCCCAGUGUUUCUGUGAAACACCUUAGCUCCCUGGCUGAUUCCCCAGUGGCUCAGGGGCCCAGGGAGCCUCCUCACACCCAAGGUCCCUGUCCCCAGGUGUGGGGGAUCCCUAUGUAUGACAUUGUGGGUGACUGGGACUCCUCACUGAACAGGAUCAGUAAAGGGCCUGCCUGGCUCUAGGCACUCAUUCAGCUGCACUGGAAUUUGGAGAAAGAGGCUGCAGAAUACACCCCUAGCCCUAAUUAGGAAAGAAACAGAGUGGUCUUGAGUCAACUCCUGAAAGCUGUGUGUGCCCUGGAUCAAUGGCCCACGGGACAUGUAGAACAGAGGCAGGAAGUCCCACUGUAAAUGGCAGACUUCAGUUUCCAGGACUUAGAUUCCACUGGGAAGCAGCUGUCCAAUUCACAAAAUUGUCAGUGAUCAAAAUAAAUAUAAUAAAGUAGUUCAUUUUAAGCAAUGCAAAGAAAGCUGAGUGGCAGAUAAAGCUAAAGAUGAGCUCCAGAUGCCACCAGGCAUAGCACGUGGAGGGACUGCAUACCCGCGUCCAGCGUAACUUACAACUCCUGGAAUGCUGGGACUGUGCAGUGUUAAUUCUAAUGGCCCAUGGAGGCAUAAUUAAUUAACCUUUCAGUUACUCUGGGCACUGCCCUUAUCCAAACAUAAAUAUGUGUAUGCCGGGAAAAUUUUGCAAUAUAGAAAGCCGACAUCGUUGACUCCUUAUUCAUAGGCAAAUCCAGUGCUUUUCAAUUUUGACUGUGCAGCAGAAUCACCGAUGGAUUUUAUUUUUAAAAUAGGGGUACGUAUGUCUCAUCUCACCCAGGGUGAGGUCCAUGGAUCUAAUGUUAUGAAGCCCACAGUGGGUCCCAAAUCCCAGCUGAGCUCCAGGACUAGGAAUGUCACCCAGCCUCCCUGCUGUAGAGCUGCACCAUGGCUUUCGUUCUUCCCGUGGUGGAAACAAAGCUUGCCUAGAGUUUCUGGAUGCAGCAUCUCUCCGAAAACAAGCUGGGGCUCUGCCGCCCUCACUGGAGCACAGCCAGUGCUGUGGAGCCCCCAGAGUGGCCACAGGGAUAGAGGGGACUUAAAACUGAGUAGGGGGCAACAGAGUUGGGGGUCUAUCCACCACAUGUGGACACACAGCAAGUCAGGCAUGUGGGAAGGAGGGAACAGCAGCGUGGAAUGGAAAUGGCAAAUGUUCAUCCAGCCAGGUGUUAUUUUAUUUAUGGCUUCUGGGGAAAUGGGAUGAACAAUUUCAGAACAGCCUUGGGUUGAACUUGAUGCUGCAAAUGGAACUUAAUUGCUCAAAUAAUGUCAUAUCAAUUUCAUAUAAAUGAUAAAGAAGGAAAGUCCCUCUUUCUAGAGAGAAAACUCUCCUGACGGCAUCAGGCUGUCCUGGGAAGUCACUGCUUCCCUUUUCUGUUGUGGGGCAUAACGGGAGAUGAAGCUGGGAAUUGACAAUCUCUUUUUUCUGCUGGACUGAAACCUCCUGGAGCAGAAAAAUAGUUUUUUAUUUUGCAAAUGAAAGUCAAAGAUGUGGCAGGAGUUGAGGGUGGGCAUUGCAAGAGCUAAAUCCGGUGCUUCUGACAGCCCAGCCCUAGUGAGAGGCCCCUUCUGAGAGUCCCAGGGACUCUUAUGUAAAUGAAACUCAAAUAGAGCUCCCCACAGCACCUGAGCUUAGGGUCACCAGGCUCUGGGACUCUGUAUGUGCUCCCAGGAGAUUCCAUCCCCAGGAUAACACUGCAGGUCAAUUUGUGCUUUUCCUACCAUGCAAACCAUACUCUGGUAACUGUGCAGGAUUCUAAGAAAUAAACUUAUUGA